rnacentral:rRNA from 1 species
AGCAGCCGCGGUAAUUCCAGCUCCAAUAGCGUAUAUUAAAGUUGUUGCAGUUAAAAAGCUCGUAGUUGAAUUUCGGGGUCAGCAAGUUGGUCGUGCCACUGGUAUGUACUGGCUUUGCUGAUUCCUCCUUCUUGUAGAACCGUAAUGCCAUUAAGUUGGUGUUGCGGGAAAACAGGACUGUUACUUUGAAAAAAUUAGAGUGUUUAAAGCAGGCUAACGCUUGAAUACAUUAGCAUGGAAUAAUGAAAUAGGACGACGAUCCUAUUUUGUUGGUUUCUAGGAUUGACGUAAUGAUUAAUAGGGAUAGUUGGGGGCAUUAGUAUUCAAUUGUCAGAGGUGAAAUUCUUGGAUUUAUUGAAGACUGACUACUGCGAAAGCAUUUGCCAAGGAUGUUUUCAUUAAUCAAGAACGAAAGUUAGGGGAUCGAAGACGAUCAGAUACCGUCGUAGUCUUAACCAUAAACUAUGCCGACUAGGGAUCGGAUGAUGUUAAUUUUUUAAUGACUCC